UACGUAGGGGGCAAGCGUUGUCCGGAUUUAUUGGGCGUAAAGAGCGUGUAGGCGGUCGUAUAGGUCAGCUGUGAAAACUCGAGGCUCAACCUCGAGACGUCGGUUGAAACCGUACGGCUAGAGUCCGGAAGAGGAGAGUGGAAUUCCCGGUGUAGCGGUGAAAUGCGCAGAUAUCGGGAAGAACACCAGUGGCGAAGGCGGCUCUCUGGGACGGUACUGACGCUGAGACGCGAAAGCGUGGGGAGCGAACAGG
rnacentral:rRNA from 1 species